rnacentral:rRNA from 1 species
AUACGUAGGGGGCGAGCGUUGUCCGGAAUGAUUGGGUGUAAAGGGCGCGUAGGCGGCCCGGUAAGUCUGGAGUGAAAGUCCUGUUUUUAAGAUGGGAAUUGCUUUGGAUACUGUCGGGCUUGAGUGCAGGAGAGGUAAGUGGAAUUCCCAGUGUAGCGGUGAAAUGCGUAGAGAUUGGGAGGAACACCAGUGGCGAAGGCGACUUACUGGACUGUAACUGACGCUGAGGCGCGAAAGUGUGGGGAGCAAACAGGAUUAGAUACCCUGGUAGUCCACACUGUAAACGAUGAAUGCUAGGUGUAGGGGGUAUCGACCCCUUCUGUGCCGCAGUCAACACAAUAAGCAUUCCGCCUGGGGGGUACGGCCGCAAGGUUGAAACUCAAAUGAAUUGACGGGG